CUACAAAUGGCAAGCUCAUAAGUGCUUUCCUGUGGGGAGAAAUCCUGAAGGGGUCUCUUGCUCCAGGAGCAGCGUGGAGGAGACUUUGAAGCAGGAAUACCACCCCACCCUCACCCACUCACCCAUGUCCGUUUAUUUUGGACAUGCUACAGUAAAUCCUCCCCAAGACAUGCGCUGCUCGUGUUUCAUGACACAAAAGCAAGUGACGCCUUGGAACCAGAUCAAAGAGGGCUCCAAGUGCAUGCUGCACAGAGCAGGCAGUGACCCUGGAAGGUUCGAUGUCCCUGGGAACAUUCCCACUUUAAGUUGGACAGACCUUGAAGCACAUCUGCGCCAGCAUUUGCACGUUCAUGUCUCCCUUACAUGCCUUUCCUCCUGUUUGUUUGAGCUUAACAGAAGGAAUGGCAGAAGUUUGCCCAAAUAAGGUACAUGGGCAGACACCUGAGGCUUUCAACACCUGUUUUAACAAAGAAGAAGAACCCAUCAAGUCAAUUUUUCUGAUCCAGCAAACAGCAUAGGUCUGGGAGUCAAAAAGCCUGGUAGCACAUAGCCUCUCAACUACUUAUUACCUUCCCUGACACAUUUGUCCAUCCUGGAUGUCCAUUGAUUCAUCAUAAAGGAUUGUCGAAAGAAUUAAAUGAGCCAGCGUAAAAGCAAUCAUUCUCUUUAUGAUCGCUCCUUCAAGUCAGACUCCAAGCCACUCGUAAAAGAAAGAAAAAAGCCUGGAAGGAGAGGCCUGCAGCAAAGUGAGGUGUCUCCUUUUAUGAGCAGUGCCCUGGGAUAGCUCCAAACCCAAAAGCUAAGUGCCCUGAAGACAGGUGAGACGUGGUGAAUGCAGCAAUAAGGGGAACUUUCUGCAAAAUCCAUUAAGGGUGUGUUAGGGGGAAUGGAUUUUUCUGUAGCUGAGCCUGGAAUGGAAUAAAUGGAAGCACCUCACCUAUCUGGCUCUCACUUCUCCUUCUCUCUCUCUUUCUCUUGCUCUCACUUCUCCCUCUCUCUCUCUCUCUCUUUCUCUCUGUCUCUCUCUCUCUAUAUAUAUACACACACACAGCUCAGGUUGCCCCAUUUUUCUCCCCACCCAGACUCUAUUCUACACCUCAAGGGCCCAUGUCUUCAUGCCUAUGGACACCCCAGCCCUUUUGUCCAAGUUCAUUCCCAAACCCCUCACCCUCUCAACUGUCAACCACCAUCAGGGCAACCCUUGAGCCUGGGGAUGUGCACUCACUCCCA
rnacentral:lncRNA from 1 species